AAGUCUGUGAUGUAACGGUUCAGCACACGCUCCCGGAAAGAGUGAGAUCUGGGUUCAAAUCCCGGCUGACGCA